ensembl:lincRNA
AGGAGCAGAUCAAAAGAGAGGCAAGUGAGAGGGAAAAAGACCCUUCUGAGCGAAAGGUUGAAGAGCUGCAGCGACAGUUGGAGAACCAAAAGGGAGUUUUGGAGAGAUUAAGAGCCAGAGUGAGAAAGGAGAUGAGAGAAAGAGAGAAGACCGCAGCAGGUAUAGGGGAGAGUUCUGCUCACAGUGGGGUGGGGAGGUUCUUGCAGUGCCCUGUGAGACUGCUACAGGAGGAGUUUCCCAAAGUGAGGGCCCUCUUCUCCUUCUCUGAACACACUCUAAGCUCUAUCUGAAAGCAGCAAGGUAAGUUGAUAUAGGUCCAACCAGGCUGCCAGGGCCUUUCCUAGCACCCUCCCCAAACUGCCCUUGAUGUGUGGUCACAAGUGACUUGAAAUGUUUUACGUGUCCACCUGCUUCUACAUUUUGGUCAAGAAAAGUGGGUUGGGUGCUGGAGAGUGUAGGUCUCAAAUCUGACUGUUGUUUUCUUCCUCCUCUAAAUCCUUCCUGGAGCAGAAGAGUGAGCCAGAGGAGAGGCAACUGAAAGGGAAAAGGAACCUCUUGAACAAAAGGUUAAAGAAUUACAGUCAAAGAUGGAGGGCAACAGAAGUGUCUCCUUGAAGGGAGCUAGACUCAAAAUGACAAAGAAGAUGAGAGAAAGAGAAAACCUUCUGAGAAGGAUGAACAAGAGGUUUGAGAUGUUGGAGAUCUUGGGAAUGAUAAAGGACGAGCUAGGGGAAUGCUGCAAGAAGACAGAUGAGCUUUGUGAUGCAGCCAAGACCUUAGCAGAAUGCACUGAAGGAGAGCCAUCUGAGAGGGAAAAGGAGCUUCUUGAGCAAAAGUAUAAGGAGAUAAGUCAAAAGGUGGAGGACCGAAAAAAAGACUUCGAAGAAUUUGUAGACAAAAUGGUAGAGAAAACAAGACAAAGACAAAAGAUUUCAGCAGAAGAGUGUGUCAAGAGAGUGGCAGCUGAGAAGGAAAAGGAACUUUUUGAGCAAAAGGUUAAAGAGCUGCAGGAACAGCUGGAGGACCAAGAAAGGGUCCCUGAGGAAUUAAGAGUCAAAAAGACAGAGAAACGAAGAGAAAGAGAAAAGACCUCAGCAGAAAUGCUGUCUGAAUUGGAGGUUGCUAUGCAAGAAAAGAAGCUUCUUGAGCAAAUGGUUAAAAAAUUGAAGCAAAAGUUGAAGGACCAAGAAAGAACCUUCGAGAGAUUUAGAGACAAACUCACAAAGGAGAUGAGAAAAAGAGACGACCUUCUGAGAAAGAUGAAUGAGAGGAUUCAGAUGCUGGAACGCUCACUGAGGUUACCGGAAACACUAGAGGAACAGGACAUGAAGAAAGGGCAGGCCAAAAGAAAGGCAGCUGAAAGGAAAAACAAGCCUCUUGCACAAAAGAUUAAAGAAUUGCAGCAAAAAUCGGAGAACCAAGAAAAAGUCUUCGAAGUAUUAAGAGUCAAAAUGACAGAGGAGUUGAAUGAAAGAGAGAAAGCCUCAGCAGGAGUAGAAGAGCAGAUCAAAAGAGAGGCUGCUGAGUGGGAAAAGGAGUCUGCUGAAAAACAGGUUAAAGAAUUGGAGCAAAAUGUGGAGGACCAAGAAAGAGUCUUCCAGAGAUUAAGAACUGAAAUGACAGAGGAAAUGAGAGAAAGUGAAAAGGCCUCAGCAGAAGAGCAGGCCAAAAGAAAGGCUGCUGAGAGGGAAAAGCUUUUAGAGCAAAAGCUUAAAGAAUUGCAACAAAAGUUUGAGGACCAAGAAAGAGCCUUCAAGGCAUUUAGAGUCCAAAUGACAGAAGAGGAACGAGAAAGAGACUACUUUCUGAGAAAGAUGAAUAAGAGGAUUGAGAUGCUGGAGGCUGCAGUGAACGAUGAUAACGACAAGGAUGUUGAGGAAAACACUGAAAAGUACUGAACUUCAUAGACACAGGAAGAUAAUGACAAAGAAAAUACUUCACAGCCUUUUGUUUUAGUCUCAGUUUGGGAGAACAUAAAGCAUGUGUGGUCACUAAUUACUCAGAUUUUUUGUUUCUUUCUUUUAAAUUCUGGUAAUAUUAAAAGUUUUCACAAGUGCUUUUUUGAUCUGGAUUAUUUUUAUCUAUGCACGUACUUUUUCUUUUAUCAUUAAAGUUUUAAUGUAAAAAAUAGAAAAAUCAUCUACUAUAGAAUAUCAAUUCCUGGCUCACAAAGGAAAGAAUUAGUGUGGUUGGAUAAUUAAUAUAAGUGGAAAUGGAAGCAACUGAGUAGAAGACAAAGAGAAUGUCAAAUUUGUAAUAUCUUGAAAAAAAGAAAAAUUUCAUUAAGUAAUGCUUCAGAAAGUCACAUAUGAAUAAUUAUACAAAUGAAUAUGUAUACUGUUUUCUUGAGAGGAAAGGACUAAUUUCUUAUACAAAACAACUGUGUUGCUGCUGCUGCUGCUGCUAAGUUGCUUCAGUCAUGUCCGACUCUGUGCGACCCCAUAGACGGCAGCUCACCAGGCUCUGCCAUCCCUGGGAUUCUCCAGGCAAGAACACUGGAGUGGGUUGCCAUUUCCUUCUCCAAUGCAUGAAAGUGAAAAGUGAAAGUGAAGUCGCUCAGUCGUGUCGGACUCUUAGCGACCGCAUGGACUGCAGCCCACCAGGCUCCUCUGUCCAUGGGAUUUUCCAGGCAAGAGUACUGAAGUGGGUGCCAUUGCCUUUUCCGAAACAACUGUGUUACUUCACCUGUAAAUUUUACGUGUUUUGAGUUAAAAUUUCACAAAAGCUGAUUGUAAAUUUUAAUUUGAGCUGAUCAAACACAUUAAAAAGCCAUGAAAAUUCAGAAGGGGUGCAGGGUUUGGGAAGUUUUCAGCCAUAAUUUCUUCUAUAAAUGAAGUUUAUAGAACUGCAGUCAUUAGAACAAUGUGCCAUUAAAGCAUAAAUCUGAAGACAAAGAAUAACAGCAUGCUGCAUAGUCUAAAAAUAGAACCAACAACAUACCUGAUUAAGGUUAUGUGAAUAGUGUUGUUUCAGAUCAGUGAGACAAUAUAAACAGUACAUGAAGUGUUGUCAGUCUACUGGACAGCCAUGUAGAAUGAGAGUGCCUAGAUCUCUUAUAAAUCUUGCACAAAUAAUAUUCCAGCUUGGCUUUAGAUUUAAACAUUAAAAAUAAUCUUGAUAAAAACAGUAAAUGUCAGAUAAUUAUAAAAUAAAUGUGGAAACUUGAAUUUAUUUUUAAGUGACAUAAAACUCAAAGAUACACAUUUUAUGACUUUGGUGUCCUCUCUUACAUCUUCAUGUUUAUCAUUUUGUUGUUCAUUUUUGUUGUCACCACUUUCACAGAAACUUUUUUUUUAUUUUUAAAAAUCUGUGUAUUGGCUUAAGUGAUUUACUUUCCUGUUGUGAUUUUCUC